rnacentral:sRNA from 1 species
UAUCAAGCUUUGCUGUGAAUUGGUGU